rnacentral:snRNA from 1 species
AGCUUUACGCAGUGGCAGUAUCAUAGCCAAUGAGGUCCAACCGAGGCGUGAUUAUUGCUAAUUGUGCUGAAGCUUGAUGAAAGCGGAGGAGCUGUGUUCCCAUUAGGGAAGAGCUGCUGACUUAUUUUUUGUUGGGGGCUUCGCACAUGCUC